rnacentral:rRNA from 1 species
CAAUAGCGUAUAUUUAAGUUGUUGCAGUUAAAAAGCUCGUAGUUGGAUUUAGGGUGGGACGCAGCGGUCUCGCAUUGCGUUUGUACUGCUGCAGCCCUCCUUCUUGCCGGGGGCGGCCUCUCGGACUUCACUGUCUGGGGGUCAGAAUCGGCGAUGUUACUUUGAGUAAAUUAGAGUGUUCAAAGCAAGCUUACGCUCUGAAUAUAAUAGCAUGGGAUAACACGACAGGACUCUGGCCUAUCGUGUUGGUCUAUAGGACCAGAGUAAUGAUUAAGAGGGACAGUCGGGGGCAUUCGUAUUCCGUUGUCAGAGGUGAAAUUCUUGGAUUUACGGAAGACGAACAUCUGCGAAAGCAUUUGCCAAGGAUGUUUNCAUUG